rnacentral:rRNA from 1 species
CGGAACACGUACAGAACCUUCCUUUAAGCGGGGGAUAGCCCAUAGAAAUGUGGAUUAAUACCCCAUAGUAAUGUUUAAUGGCAUCAUUAGAUAUUUAAAGAUUUAUCACUUAAAGAUGGCUGUGCGGCUGAUUAGGUAGUUGGUGCGGGUAACGGCCCACCAAGCCAGCGAUCAGUAACUGGUGUGAGAGCACGACCAGUCACACGGGCACUGAGACACGGGCCCG